GAAUUGUUCGCAAUGGGCGCAAGCCUGACGACGCAACGCCGCGUGGAGGAUGAAGACCUUCGGGUCGUAAACUCCUUUCGACCGAGAUGAAUACGUGCCGACCUAAUACGUCGGCACGCCUACAGUAUCCAGGGAAGAAGCCCCGGCUAACUCCGUGCCAGCCGCCGCGGUAAUACGGGGGGGGCAAGCGUUGUUCGGAAUUACUGGGCGUAAAGGGUUCGUAGGUGGCCAACUAAGUCAGACGUGAAAUCCCUCGGCUCAACCGGGGAACUGCGUCUGAUACUGGUUGGCUCGAGUGCAGGAGAGGAACGCGGAAUUCCAGGUGUAGCGGUGAAAUGCGUAGAUAUCUGGAGGAACACCGGUGGCGAAGGCGGCGUUCUGGACCGCAACUGACACUGAGGAACGAAAGCCAGGGGAGCAAACGGG
rnacentral:rRNA from 1 species